AACGCACAUUGCGCCCCCUGGUAUUCCGGGGGGCAUGCCUGUUCGAGCGUCAUUUCACCACUCAAGCCUCGCUUGGUAUUGGGCGACGCGGUCCGCCGCGCGCCUCAAAUCGACCGGCUGGGUCUUCUGUCCCCUCAGCGUUGUGGAAACUAUUCGCUAAAGGGUGCCCGGGAGGCUACGCCGUAAAACAACCCCAUUUCUAAGGUUGACCUCGGAUCAGGUAGGGAUACCCGCUGAACUUAA
rnacentral:misc_RNA from 1 species